CCUACGGGUGGCUGCAGUGGGGAAUAUUGGACAAUGGGCGAAAGCCUGAUCCAGCCAUGCCGCGUGUGUGAAGAAGGCCUUCGGGUUGUAAAGCACUUUCAGUGGGGAAGAAAGCCUUGGGGCUAAUACCCUCGAGGAAGGACAUCACCCACAGAAGAAGCACCGGCUAACUCCGUGCCAGCAGCCGCGGUAAUACGGAGGGUGCGAGCGUUAAUCGGAAUUACUGGGCGUAAAGCGCGCGUAGGCGGUCUGAUAAGCCGGAUGUGAAAGCCCCGGGCUCAACCUGGGAACGGCAUCCGGAACUGUCAGGCUAGAGUGCAGGAGAGGAAGGUAGAAUUCCCGGUGUAGCGGUGAAAUGCGUAGAGAUCGGGAGGAAUACCAGUGGCGAAGGCGGCCUUCUGGACUGACACUGACGCUGAGGUGCGAAAGCGUGGGUAGCAAACAGGAUUAGAUACCCGAGUAGUC
rnacentral:rRNA from 1 species